rnacentral:rRNA from 1 species
UACGAAGGUCCCAAGCGUUAUCCGGAUUUAUUGGGUUUAAAGGGUGCGUAGGCGGGCUAUUAAGUCAGUGGUGAAAGCCCCAAGCUUAACUUGGGAACUGCCAUUGAUACUGAUGGUAUUGAGUACAUUUGAGGUGGGCGGAAUGUGUCAUGUAGCGGUGAAAUGCUUAGAUAUGACACAGAACACCGAUUGCGAAGGCAGCUCACUAAACUGUAACUGACGCUGAGGCACGAAAGCGUGGGGAGCAAACAGG